rnacentral:rRNA from 1 species
AUUGAACGCUGGCGGCAGGCUUAACACAUGCAAGUCGAACGAGUGGCGGACGGGUGAGUAAUGCCUGGGAAACUGCCCGAUGGAGGGGGAUAACUACUGGAAACGGUAGCUAAUACCGCAUACCAUCGGAUGUGCCCAGAUGGGAUUAGCUAGUGGGUGGGGUAACGGCUCACCAAGGCGACGAUCCCUAGCUGGUCUGAGAGGAUGACCAGCCACACUGGAACUGAGACACGGUCCAGACUCCUACGGGAGGCAGCAGUGGGGAAUAUUGCGCAAUGGGCGCAAGCCUGAUGCAGCCAUGCCGCGUGUAUGAAGAAGGCCUUCGGGUUGUAAAGUACUUUCGGUAGGGAGGCGUUACCCACAGAAGAAGCACCGGCUAACUCCGUGCCAGCAGCCGCGGUAAUUC